rnacentral:lncRNA from 1 species
CUCGAGUACAGCCCCUGGUAGUGUGUCUUCCCUUUGUCUCUGGUUAGAUUUUCUUUCCCUUUCAGGGAACUACAUCGCCCUGAUCCUCGUUCCAGUCGAGGUAUGUAGGCAGGAGUCCGCGCGAGGUCUCUCCGGGCACUUUUUUUUCUUUUGUGUGUGUUUGCUUGUUAUUUGCUUGUGUGUCAGGAUAUGGACGCAAGCCAGCGAUUGGUUGUCCGUAUCCUGAUUGUG